UGGGGAAUCUUGCACAAUGGGGGCAACCCUGAUGCAGCGACGCCGCGUGAGCGAUGAAGCCCUUCGGGGCGUAAAGCUCUUUCGACCGGAACGAUAAUGACGGUACCGGGAGAAGAAGCUGCAGCUAACUACGUGCCAGCAGCCGCGGUAAUACGUAGGCAGCAAGCGUUGUUCGGAGUUACUGGGCGUAAAGAGUGCGUAGGCGGUUUUCUAAGUUCGGUGUGAAAUCUCCCGGCUUAACUGGGAGGGUGCGCCGAAGACUGGGAAGCUGGAGUGUGGGAAAGGCAGGCGGAAUUCCUGGUGUAGCGGUGAAAUGCGUAGAUAUCAGGAGGAACACCAGCGGUGUAGACGGCUUGCUAGACCAUAACUGACGCUGAGGCACGAAAGCGUGGGUAGCAAACA
rnacentral:rRNA from 1 species